rnacentral:rRNA from 1 species
UACGUAGGGGGCAAGCGUUAUCCGGAUUUACUGGGCGUAAAGGGAGCGCAGGCGGCGCGCCAAGUCUGAUGUGAAACCCCGGGGCUCAACCCCGGGCAUGCAUUGGAAACUGGCGGGCUGGAGUGCCGGAGAGGUAAGCGGAAUUCCUAGUGUAGCGGUGAAAUGCGUAGAUAUUAGGAGGAACACCAGUGGCGAAGGCGGCUUUCUGGACUGUAACUGACACUGAGGUACGAAAGCGUGGGGAGCAAACAGG